AGGUUUGCACUUGAUGAGUCACCAUCGGGCUAUCGCAUGACCUCGCUAUAACCUCGAUACCGCCAGCUCCCAUUCGCUCUUCAGGCAGCAGCCGCAGCAGUAGACAGGGUGCGACCGUUGAAAUACAGCUUCUUGAACAAAGUACCGGGUAAAUUCAAAUCUUUCCAAAAUGGCGGCGCGUUGCGGCUGGUUCUGGAGUAUCGUCUGGUUCCUGAUCCUCCUCAUAUUCGGCUUCGUGAUAGGAUUCUUGUGUGCAGUCCUCUACGUCCUGUUAAGUCCAUUCGCGGCCUGUUGUACCGGGUGCAUGGGAUUCAUCAACUUACUAGAAAGAGGCGUAAAAGUGCCCCUGACUUGUGCCACGAAUAUGGUGACUCAAAAGUCUCCAUGCAACUGUUAAAAAAGAGUUCUUGGCGUUCAACGACUUCCUCCGAACGUCUACAUUGGAUAUGCAUUUACAAUUACCAAGUAGACAUUUUUACUUUUUUUAUAAAUGUCAACAUACAUAUAUAUUAUGCGUUUGAAACUGUUUUCCUGUGCGUUUUUGAAAUCAAAUGGGAUUAUAUUCUUAUAAAUGAGUGGUGGCUAUUAUCAAGGAAAAGCCAUCUUUUUUUGAGGAGCUUGCGCCUAAAACUUACCAACCUCGUCUUGUCUGCUCUGGGGGACUCUUCAGCUCCGUUAUUUGGUAUCCCGUGCAAGUACCAAAGAAUCACGAGAAGAUCAUUUCGUGAUUCCUUGUGAGAACUGUCGUUAUGAGGGAACAUACCCGUAAAAUAAAGUGAAAAGUCCUUCGCCCAUCAAACGCAUCAUCGUCAUUUUCAGAUCAGAUUCGAUUUUCGCGCCUCUGCUCCGUUGUCUGGGGUUUUUUACAGACUGAUCCCGCAAAGGGACUGGACUGGACACGAACACGAUCUCGUGCUUACUCAGUGACUCCAGUUUGUUUCUAGUGUUCGUCUGAGUGUAUAUUCGCUACAGAAGAUGGAAGGAGAUGCGACAAUUUGGGACAGGCCAGAUUCGUUUUCGAUGAGUUUCAUUUUUUAUUACAGAAAGACUGGACCAUAUGCGGAGGCCAUUAACGUAGUGAUUUUAGAUAAUCUAUUCCAGUACUGACUAUCUCUGCAGACGUGUAAAUAAUGCAGCCUGCUGCAAAUAGACCUAAACUAACAUUCCGGACAAACAUUUAUGCGAUCUCCUUCCCUCUCUUCCAGAACUUGCGAAGUCACGCGCAGACGACAGAAAACGACACGUGAUCCAGAAUGGCGAAUUGUGGUUGGUUGUGGAGUAUUAUCUGGUUGUUCACCCUGCUCAUAUUCGGCAUCGCGAUUGGCCUUCUCUGCGGGAUCCUCUACGUCCUGUUCAGUCCCUUCGGCGCAUGCUGCACGGGGUGUAACGAAUUCUUGAACUUACUCGAAAGAGGCUGGAAACUUCCGUAUACUUGUGCUUGCAAUAUGGUCUCGCAGAAAUCCAUGUGCUAAUGCCGCCAGUCACCCCAUUCCGAAAGCAAGAGGACAAUACCAAAAUACUUCCUUGUGAGUGGUGCUAUUUUAUGACUGUCUCAGUUGAGCAGGAUUAAGCCCUUCUUAUUGGCUCAUACGGCCGGAAAUCACAAAAUGCUUCUUUCGGAAACCGUUGAAUAUCUGACCACUGGUAGGCUUGCCGCGGGUCAUCUGACCACUGGUGGGCUUACCGGUCAUCACGGUGCGAGAGAAUGUGCGUGGAUUGGAAUUGUUUCUCACCGAAUUACACAGAUUAGAUUCGAAUAAGAGCUAGCUGAUAUCGAACUUAGUUUUGUAGAGCGAAAUGUUGAAGGGAUUUGUCAAUACUUGCUGACUCCUGCGAAUGGAAUAUUUUUGUAUCACAGUGAAUUGGAGGAGAUACUUUGGAGAUACUUCUCGACUGCUCGAGGGCUUCUACAGUAGAGCAAUCUACCGGUAAUGGAGUGCGGAAAAUGGUAUUUUUGUUAUUUACACGUGUUUCAUACUUUUGCUAAAACAUACCUAAAUCUGGAAAUAUUUGAUGACUGGCUGUUGUCCAUUUCCCGAGAAAAUGGUAAUCAAAAAGCCUACAAUGGAUUGGAAAAAUUAUCUGUUUUUACUUGAAGGGCUCGGUCUUGAUCAAAUGCUUUUUCAGAUUUUGGUAAGAUUACUAUUUUAAGAUACUUUGAAGUUUCAGGAAUGUUAGUAACAUUUUGUUAAAACGUUGCAUUUUCUGUGAGAAAUCACCAAAACUCCAAGUGCCAUCUUCUCUUCCAUUCAUAAAGUACUAUUGAUAGAUUUUGGUAAACUAUUUUAACGCAUUCAGGGUACGAUUUAGAACGUCAUUCAUACAAUCAUGUAUUUUGUCUUAUUGUGUGGGCAUGCGAGUGCUCUUACUAUGAAAGCUUAAGAUAAUAAAUGUGCUGCUCGGCUAAAGCAAAAUGUUCCUUUCACGAG